GUGGGGAAUAUUGGACAAUGGGCGAAAGCCUGAUCCAGCCAUGCCGCGUGUGUGAAGAAGGUCUUCGGAUUGUAAAGCACUUUAAGUUGGGAGGAAGGGCAGUAAGUUAAUACCUUGCUGUUUUGACGUUACCGACAGAAUAAGCACCGGCUAACUUCGUGCCAGCAGCCGCGGUAAUACGAAGGGUGCAAGCGUUAAUCGGAAUUACUGGGCGUAAAGCGCGCGUAGGUGGUUUUGUAAGUUGGAGGUGAAAUCCCCGGGCUCAACCUGGGAACUGCCUCCAAAACUGCAUGACUAGAGUACGGUAGAGGGUAGUGGAAUUUCCUGUGUAGCGGUGAAAUGCGUAGAUAUAGGAAGGAACACCAGUCGCGAAGGCGACUACCUGGACUGAUACUGACACUGAGGUGCGAAAGCGUGGGGAGCAAACAGGAUUAGAUACCCCGGUAGUCC
rnacentral:rRNA from 1 species